UAGAAAGUGUAUCACCAUGAAGUCCUCGUCGCUGGUUCUACUCUUUGGAUUUAUUAAUGUAAUCAGGAUCCAAUCCCCUGUACAUGGCCAUACGGUGGCGAUUCAGCCUGGGUGUGGGUGUUCCCCCUGUGACGUCAGUUACGUAACGACUGAAUAUAAGCCUUGUAUGAACGUGGCAUUGAGCCCAGCGCUGGAGUGCUGUGGCCGUGGUGUCUAUCCGAAUGGAGACGCGUGCGGAUGUGGGGUAUUGGACUUGCCGGUUGGUUUCCUAGAUCUUUAUGCACCUUGUGGUUGCCCAAUGCCUUGCGGUUGUGGACUUUCAGAUUGCCCGUGUCCGAAGUAUUUAAAAAAAAUACCUAUACCGCCACCGUUUUUGUGAAUCUUAUUGGAAUAAAUGUCGUUUUGUAUUUUAA